rnacentral:rRNA from 1 species
CCCGCAACGAGCGCAACCCUUGUCAUUAGUUGCUACGAAAGGGCACUCUAAUGAGACUGCCGGUGACAAACCGGAGGAAGGUGGGGAUGACGUCAAGUCCUCAUGGCCCUUAUGGGUAGGGCUUCACACGUCAUACAAUGGUACAUACAGAGGGCCGCCAACCCGCGAGGGGGAGCUAAUCCCAGAAAGUGUAUCGUAGUCCGGAUUGUAGUCUGCAACUCGACUGCAUGAAGUUGGAAUCGCUAGUAAUCGCGGAUCAGCAUGUCGCGGUGAAUACGUU